rnacentral:lncRNA from 1 species
GGACGAUCAAUUUUAUUUUGCUUCUAUACUUUAAUGCAUUAUUAAUUACUCAGGGAGACUAGAGAUAGUAAACUAGUAAUUAAUAGUAGGCUCUUUUCGCUAAAGAAUUGGGUUUAGGGUAGGCUAAGAAAGUUUGCAUGGCAAUUAGAUAAUAAAGCGAAUUAAAUAAGAAAAGUAGAUAUAAGAGGAUGAAUAAGAUGAAAUUGUAAACCCCAACAACUCCAUUCAUUCAUAUCUUUUCUUUGCCAAUUGAUUCACUUGCAUUUGCAUGUUUAUUUUCGUUUUGCAUUCACACUACAAAAUUUAUUUCUUUUCAAGUCUUAUAAGAUCAAUUUACAUGAAAGAUAAGGCCUAAGAGUUGUUUAGGAGAACGAUACUUGGACUUACCGUUUAUAUAU